UAACAAAAUUUGGUAGAGUUAUUCCCAAAUCCUUUAUCGUUAUUCUCCAGUUUACAGAAUUGAAUUUGGAUUAAAAUUGGUUGAGUUAUUCGCAGUUUCGUGAGACACGUUUUCUCAGACGCGAAUUAGGACCAGCGGAGAUUGAAACUGAGAUCGUGGUCUCGUCUGUUUUCCGAUCGGCACGAGAUUUUGUGGGCAGCUUUGUGACGUCUGCAGCUAGGAUUUUACCGGAGCGAUUGAAUAGUUAACGGUUAGCUUGUAUUUUAGGGUUUCGUCUUUGAGACUGUUUGUUUCUGGUGUUUUCCUGUCCAGUUUGCUUCAAGGUUGCUUUUGGUUGUGGACUUGUUGUAGGACGUUUCUGGACUGUUUCCGACGCAAGGAGAGUCUCUCCUGGGUUUAAUUGCUAUUAGAAUCAAUUUGUUAAGGUGAGUGCGUGACCAUGAGCUUAUCUAAGCGAUUGGGUUGUGUGAUUUGUUUUGUGUGAUGAUAUGUAAGUGUUGUGAAUGUGUUUUGGGUGAAUUGUUCAAUGACUGGUUUGUUUGUAUUGUAUUCGUGAUUAUACCUUUGUAUUUGCUUGUGUGUAUAGUUCGUAGAUG
rnacentral:sRNA from 1 species